GACGAACGCUGGCGGCGUGCUUAACACAUGCAAGUCGAACGGAAAGGCCCUGCUUUUGUGGGGUGCUCGAGUGGCGAACGGGUGAGUAACACGUGAGUAACCUGCCCUUGACUUUGGGAUAACUUCAGGAAACUGGGGCUAAUACCGGAUAGGAGCUCCUGCUGCAUGGUGGGGGUUGGAAAGUUUCGGCGGUUGGGGAUGGACUCGCGGCUUAUCAGCUUGUUGGUGGGGUAGUGGCUUACCAAGGCUUUGACGGGUAGCCGGCCUGAGAGGGUGACCGGCCACAUUGGGACUGAGAUACGGACCAGACUCCUACGGGAGGCAGCAGUGGGGAAUAUUGCACAAUGGGCGGAAGCCUGAUGCAGCAACGCCGCGUGCGGGAGGACGGCCUUCGGGUUGUAAACCGCUUUCGCCUGUGACGAAGCGUGAGUGACGGUAAUGGGUAAAGAAGCACCGGCUAACUACGU
rnacentral:rRNA from 1 species